UACGGGGGGGGCAAGCGUUGUUCGGAAUUACUGGGCGUAAAGGGCUCGUAGGCGGCCAACUAAGUCAGACGUGAAAUCCCUCAGCUUAACUGGGGAACUGCGUCUGAUACUGGAUGGCUUGGAUUCGGGAGAGGAAUGCGGAAUUCCAGGUGUAGCGGUGAAAUGCGUAGAUAUCUGGAGGAACACCGGUGGCGAAGGCGGCAUUCUGGACCGACAUUGACGCUGAGGAGCGAAAGCCAGGGGAGCAAACGGGG
rnacentral:rRNA from 1 species